CCGAUGCUCAGCAAUUCAACAAAAAGCUCAAUACAGCCGCAGCCAAUCUCCAGAAGCAGUACCCUGAUCUCAAAUUGUGGUUUUUGACAUUUUAAAGGCACUAUCUGAUGUUGUUAAAUCCCCUUCGGUUUCGUGGAAGCGACGAGAGGCUGCUGUGGAACAGGGACCGUAGAGACGACUGCAUUCUUGUGCAAUCCGCAUACACCGGGAACUUGAUCGAAUGCCUCCCAGUAUGUGUUUUGGGACAGUGUUCAUCCAUCUCAGGUUGCUAAUCGGGUCCUUUCUGAUGCAUUGAAUGUUCAGGGCAUUCCCCUCCUUUGAUGCAUUAGGACACCAUGUCUACUUGCCCUUUGUAGACUGUACUAGGCUUACCACUACUCUCUACUAUUACAUUUAUUAAAAAGUGACUCAUAUUGCAGUAGCUUGUAUUUGUAGUUAA